rnacentral:rRNA from 1 species
AGCACCACAACAGGUGGAGCCUGCGGUUUAAUCGGACUCAAACGCCGGGAAACUCACCAGAUAAGACAGCUGAAUGAUAGUCGGGCUGAAGACUCUACUUGACUAGCUGAGAGGAGGUGCAUGGCCGUCGUCAGUUCGUACUGUGAAGCAUCCUGUUAAGUCAGGCAACGAGCGAGACCCACGCCAACAGUUGCCAGCUCGUCCUCCGGGAUGGUGGGGACACUGUUGGGACCGCCUCUGCUAAAGAGGAGGAAGGAAUGGGCAACGGUAGGUCAGCAUGCCCCGAAUUAUCUGGGCUACACGCGGGCUACAAUGGGUGGGACAAUGGGUAUCGACACCGAAAGGUGAAGGCAAUCUCCUAAACCCAUCCUUAGUUCGGAUUGUGGGCUGCAACUCGCCCACAUGAAGCUGGAAUCUGUAGUAAUCGUGUUUCAAAAUAGCACGGUGAAUAUGUCCCUGCUCCUU